rnacentral:rRNA from 1 species
AGAGUUUGAUCAUGGCUCAGGAUCAACGCUGGCGGCGUGCCUAAUGCAUGCAAGUCGAACGCAGCACCUUCGGGUGGCUGCGUGGCGAACGGCUGAGGAACACGUGCGUACCUGCCUCCUCGUGGGGAAUACCGGCUGGAAACAGCCGACAAUACCGCGUACGCCUGCCCCUUCGGGGGGAGGGAAAGCCUUCGGGCGCGGGGAGAGGGGCGCGCGGCCCAUCAGGUCGAUGGCGGGGUAACGGCCCACCAUGCCGAUGACGGGUCGCUGGUCUGUGAGGACGGCCAGCCAGACUGGGACUGAGAAACGGCCCAGACACCUACGGGUGGCAGCAGCAAGGAAUCUUCCCCAAUGGGCGCAAGCCUGAGGGAGCAACGCCGCGUGGAGGAUGACGGCCUUCGGGUUGUAAACUCCUUUUUCGAGGGACGAAACAGACGGUACCUCGGGAAUAAGCCCCGGCUAACUCUGUGCCAGCAGCCGCGGUAAUACAGAGGGGGCAAGCGUUGUCCGGACUUACUGGGCGUACAGCGCGCGCAGGCGGCCGUGUAUGUGCUUGGUGACAUCCUCCCGCUCAACGGGAGGCGGCCCAGGUAGACAGCAGGGCUGGAGGCAGGGAGAGGGAUGUGGAAUGCCCGGUGGAGCGGUGAAAUGCGUAGAGAUCGGGCGGAACACCAGCGGCGAAGGCGGCAUCCUGGCCCUGACCUGACGCUGAGGCGCGAUAGCGUGGGGAGCAAACGGGAUUAGAUACCCCCGUAGUCC